GACAUCCCACAACAGAUAGAAAUUGAAUGACCUUCUAUUCUGUCUUUCCCUGUUGACAAUGUUGUAAAAACACAAUAUUUGUCAUAUACCCUAAAACUGUUAGCAAAAAAAUCUUACAUGAACAGUUAACAUACGUGUUGUUACUUUCACCAAGCACUGGAUUCUGUAGAUAAAAGGAAAAAAAUUCUCUUCCAUUCAGCUCUCUUCCUGGUAGGAGAUGAGUCAAAAACCACAGCUAAUGCCCUUGCAUUUUCCUGUUAGAUACUUCUCCCUCAGACAUCGUUUACCCUUGCACUGUAGGACGUCAAAAGGGAUCAACUGAUUCUUA
rnacentral:lncRNA from 1 species